rnacentral:lncRNA from 1 species
AAAUAAUUUCACGCUUGAAUAUUUUUGCUAAGGUAAAGACGUGUUCAAAUAUCAUCCAUUAAGUAAAUCUGGUCAAUUGAAAAUGUGGAAAGCUGGGAUUUUGAUACUUUUUGUAAUUUAUUUCACAAAUGUAAGUUUUAAAAGUACUAAGAUAAAUAUUGAAAUGAUAGGUCUUCCUUUUUCUUGCGUUCAUUUUCUGUAAAAACUGUUCGCAUAUAUUUUUUUCACAGACUUUAAAACGAAAUAAAACCUGUUUGAAUGUUUAGAUUGUUAAUCAUGCAUAGGUAUAAUAAAAAAAGACCUAGUUAUCAUUAUGUUUACAUUAUAUAGAUAUAUAAUAUUCAAAUGUAACAAUAUAGUAUCUAUUUGCCACAAUACAUUAUGUAGUACUGUGUUAUUAAGCCGACGAAGAAAGUCAUUACACGACCAACGAAAGCUAUAUUUUUAUAUUAUCUUGUUGGUCGAGUGGUCUUGUGCGCAAGAAACAGAGUAGGUGGUGUUGCCACGAAGUCAAGGAAAAGGACAAAAAAUCCCACUGAGGGAGCAAAAAACAUGUGCUUAAGCAAAGGACAAGGUACAAUAAGGGCCAAUUUUGGCCCCCUCUUGAAAGACAUUAAAUUUUAUAAGUUCAAUAGACUAAGUAUAGAAGCUUAAAAAAAUUGCAUUUUUUUUGGUGAUUCUCAUUUUUUGGUUGCCUAGCAACAUGAUUGAAACCUGCCAAUAAUAUGCUAUUUCAAACCUUAUCUAACAAAAAAAACGUAUUUUCCAUAUGAAUCAAAAUGUAUAAUUGUAAAAUACAUAUAUGGAAAUCUAAAGCAGUAAUGUUUUGUUUAUCUAUAUUAAUUGCACGAGUAUUUAUCAACACCUUAACCACCAGUAUGGCCCUUAGCAACAGUAAUGUAUAUUAAGCAACAGUAGAUUUUGGUAUAUGUUCAUGGCUUAUGUAAACAUUAAUAUGUUAACCAAAUCUAUGUUUCUAUUGCUAGAUACUUUUAGGACAAUUGUACAAAUCUUACAAUUUGUUUGGCUUGUUUUUUUCGCUAAGAAACUACAUAGCAACCGUAAUAACUGCAUAGCAACGACCUUUUUCAUUGAUGAUUUACGUUGAUGUUGUAUUUUUCUAAUAGUAUGUUGACGUCUAAGUAAAUGAGCUUUUAUAGAUUAAUCUCUGUCCGACUAUGGAUGAAAGUAGCUUGGUGUUCACUUUCAACAAUCAACCCCCCCCUUUCCUCCUCAAAAACAAAAUAGCAAAUAAAUAAAUAAAUAAACAUGACAUACGAAAAAAGUGUUUAUCCAAAAUUGAAAUUAUAUCGACCUUCAUGCAGACCUACUCAUGACAUCAUAAACAUAAUGAUUAACCUUUGCCCUAAAGUAAUUGCGUUAAAAUCAGACUUCAUAAAAAAGGGACGAAAGAUACCAGAGGGACAGUCUAGGGAUUUUUCAACCCUCAUAUUUUGGUCCGAUUAUGGGCCUCUGUCCCAAAGAGAAAUAUGCUCUUUUUUUCUCAAUUUUCAGCUCUAAAAUUACCAGUUGUAUGUCAUUGUAUAAAGACAUCGUUGCAAGAUUUUGUUGGUGUCGUAGUGUGGUAUUUUGUUUACAAAUCUCUUGAAUUUUGUUCACAAUUUAUGCAAUUAUAACUUAUUCCUUCUCAGAAUGCAAAAUUUUGCACGCUCAGAAACAGCGGAAAUCAGCGGCAUAUAUGGAAACACUGUAAGUAAGACUAGAACCGUCCCUAAACAUCCCAUUGAAAAAUACUAAAAAAGAAUGUGUGUUGACAACCAACUAAAUUGAUAGCUAUUAUAAUCAAAACAAAUACUCCAGCCGUUCUAUCUCGUUGAAAUAUUUUUAAAUAUUAUUAGAAGAAAAACGUAUUGGACAAGUAUAUAUCCUUUAUGAGAUUCGAACGUAAAUCGCGACAUUCAAAAGCUGACGCGAUACCACUACACUACAUUGCCACAAUGUCUCAAAAGUGGUAAAUGUAUGUAUUUAUAGGCAUACUGUAAAGUCAUGAUAGAAAUGAAAAAAAGAAAUCUGGGACUAGGGCUAACUACCUCCCCGGGACUACCUCUCAAUUUGUUUCCUUUAUAUGAGACGAUGCGUACUCAAAACAAAAAAGAUUCACGUUAAUAUUAAACAGAAUUAACUUGUUCUUUUCGGCGGUGGUCUUUUGCAAAGUCGUAUGCAAUAACAGACUCGACCCAAUGUAUCUUGUCCCGAAUUUACACAUUAUUCCAAAGAACCCCAAAAAGCAAAAAAAAAAAAUAUUCAAAUUUUCUUUGCUUUAUUUUAUGAGGGGGACACUGGCAAAACUCCUGUUUAUCGUGUCUGCCGAGUGCAUAUAUUUUCCCUAUGUAAGGUGUUGAUUUAAAUCGAUAAAACACACUCAUCCUGCCUUUUUUUUUACUCAAAACUCCUGUCUUGCCUAGUUUUUUUCAAAUUUCAUCUUAGCCCCCUUAAAACCUUAAACACCUAUCGAAGUAUUCUUGCUUUAGUUGAGGUUUCUUGCCGUAACAGCCGAAUGCGGAUAUUUUCAGCUCUUUCUCCGAUUUCGAUCCGAUACUACUUUUUUGACACAAAUUGUUGUUUUUUUAAGAGAGAUUGUUUUAAUUUUUGAGCACCUCCGCCAAUGUGAGCCAAUAUUUUCUUUUCAUAUUCGGAAAACCCUGUUUGUAUGCCAUCUUUAUCACUAAUUAUUACUGUGGCUCACGUUGGCGGAGGCCUUUAAAAACGAAGGAUUGCAGUCCAUAAAUGGACAUUUUUCUACCUUUUGACGUUAUCAACACACUUUAGACAACCCAAAAUCAGGUUUCUGCCAUACUAGAAGACAAAUUGGGCAUGUGGUAUUGAAGAACAAAUAUAUUUAGAUAUUUUAUGAUGCUCAGUUCAUUUAUAAGAUGAAAAUGAUUUUUUGACAAAAUAGGGAGUCAAAUACGGCCCUUAGUGUACCUUGUCCAAAUUUGCAGAGUUUUGCGAAAACAUAAAUGAAUUUUCUAAAAGAAACUUUUAAAAAGUUUUUUUUAAUCUUUUUUUUAAAAAGCAACAUGCUAUCAAAUAAAAAUAAAUGUCUUCUUCAGAAAGGCAUUUGUUAAAAAAAAACAUCAUGAUAAUCGUUAUCUUCUGUUUUAAUAACAUAUUGGAAACGUAACCUUUCAUGUAGGUAGUUUUCUUUUGACAAAUCUUCAAUUAAUUAUGUUUUAAAUGAUAUAAAAUAUAACUGUGCAAAUAUUUCAAAAUAACAUCUGUUUGUAUUUACAAAAUAUUCAACUAUACAUAUAUUCAAAAUAAUUUGCACACUUUUUUUCAAAUAUUUGAUUCCCAAUAUAAACAUGUAUGCGUUGUCUUACAUUUAAUUUUCUUCUAACGGAGUUUAAAUUUGUAGUAAAGUAUAUAUGUAAUUAAACAAGAUAGGUUACACAUUAACAGAACCCAUGGAAAUCAUAUUUUUUUUUUUACCAAAAACAUGCAUUAUGAUGAAAUGACAUACGUUUCAUGCGUUCGAAGUACUUUUUGGAAUCAUUUUCAGGAGUAACUGUGAAACCUAAACUUUCUAUAGCCAAUGAUGUGGAAAUACGUAGACACGAUAGUGGCUAUAUAAUCAAAAUUAAAAUAGAAAAGAAUAGCCAAAUGUAUAAACGGUCAUAUUUGCCUGACGAGGAUUGAUUAUGAAUAACUUUGGAAUUUAUUAUCGGGGAUUUUUUAAUCAAUAUUUUAUGGUAACGAAUUACUUAUUACUGUGCUGAUGACAACGCUGGGCUUAAAUUUUACCAGCAGAAGUUUAUAAUCAUUUCUAGUGAAAGAAAAUGUAACUUUAUAUGUGCAUGCGACCAAAGCACAUAUAGUAAGGAUAUAGCUCAUGGGCACUGCAGAAACUAAAAUAAACGUUUGUUUUUGUAUUUAGAUGCACAGCCGUUAAUGUCAUUACAUCAACAUAAAAAAAUGUCGAUCCAUACGUUUAUAAAGUUGUCUUUAUCCUUUCUUUAUCUUUUCUUUUGUCUAAGGAUAUCAAUUCUGCUGAAAACAAUACAACAUUUAGAUAUUUCAUUGGUUUGAUUUUAUAAUCUGAAUAGGGUACACCUAGAUGUCCAGUUUGUUUCAAUGGGAAGACUGCUCCAGGUUGUCCCGUGUGUAUACAAUUCUUUAACCAGUGUAACGGAAAUGGGGAUUGUACACAAGGUAGAGUAUUGUUAUAUCUAGUUAUUUACUUAAUUAACAAAUUCUGAUAUUGAUACGAACUUUUGAAUUUUGUUUGCAUUUAACAUGAAUUUAAUACAAGCAUGUAAAGUAUACGACUCUUUUCACAAGACACCUUAUGGCUACAGAAACUCGGGAGUUAGACACGUUUCAGGGUCCGAUCAAUUUUAUUCGUACGAUUUUUUGUGAAAAGACCUGUUUUAAUUAUUUUUCUUUUGAAUCGUUUAAAAACACUUAUAAAAUGCAAUGUGAAGUAUAAGCCUGUUCUUGGAAUCGAAGCAUCGUUAAUGGACUUGGUUUUUAAAAUCAUUCAACUGAUGAACCGCAUACUAUUUCUUUACAGGAAAAUUGUGUUGUCUUAAUCCAAACUGUGGUAGAGAGUGCGUAGAUCCAGGUAUGUUAGUUUGUGUCUGUAUGAAAUGGGCAGAUUCUUGAAACACUGAACAAUUACUAGUAUUUGCCAUUUAGGGAUGGGGUCUCUUCAGGUUUUUUUUUAUGUAAUUGAAAUUCAAGAAAGAGGUGUUCUUCCGUUGAUUAUGUCACUCUUAAAAUUAUCUUAGUAGUAAGACGUUUCAAAUAAAUAUAGAAAUUUUAUUUAAGACUUGUUUCGAUUUGAAAAUAACCUUUAAAGUAUAAUGUACGUUUGAAGAAUAAAUUAUUUGUCAAAACACUAUGGAAAAAAAUGUUGUGCAAUUUUCAAAAGAAAUUGAAAGCAGUAUAAUCAAAAAAAAACAAAACAUAACGACUUUAAACAUGUUACUUUAACACAAUUUCUGCAAUAUAACAUAUUCAGAACCGACCAGGGAGGCCCUUUUUAAACUUUUGUAACCACUCAGAUCUUAAAUAUCUCAUACAAUUAUCAAAACUACAAGAUGUAGGUACACAAUGGCAAUUCUCAUUUAAAAAAUACACAUCCGAGGCAUAGAAAAAUAAACGAUGUCUUUGUUAAUACUAAUAGCCUUAAUUUCUUAUUUGAACAUGAAAUUAAAGUAACUUGUAAAACAUUGUUCCAUCUUUUCCAAGUAAGUGUUUGAAAUUUUCUUCAACAAACUGCUAUUUCAAAUAUAUAUACUUUUAAGUUUAUUAGUUCUAUGAGAUUCAGCACAUGCAUUAUCCAAUAUUUGUAUAAUCGUUUUGUUUAUUUUUUCCAGAUAAUUCCAGAUAAUUCUAAUAAAAAGAGGGAGAUGAUCAAGAAUAAAUUUGAGGAUCCUGUGCUAGUUUCAUUUCUAACGUUGAUGAAAACUUUGAGGGGCUGCAAAAUUCAAUAAUUACUACAGGUUUUUUUUUUUAUAUAACUGAACUUGACGAGCUGUAUGUUUCAAAAACAGAUAAGCCGACAAUAUUUUAACAGAAUUUUUUUGCAAAUUCUGCUCGACAUUUAAACUGAACGUACAACAAUAAAAUAAAUUAUGAAAUAAUUAU